GACGAACGCUGGCGGCGUGCUUAACACAUGCAAGUCGAACGGAAAGGCCCUGCUUUUGUGGGGUGCUCGAGUGGCGAACGGGUGAGUAACACGUGAGUAACCUGCCCUUGACUUUGGGAUAACUUCAGGAAACUGGGGCUAAUACCGGAUAGGAGCUCCUGCUGCAUGGUGGGGGUUGGAAAGUUUCGGCGGUUGGGGAUGGACUCGCGGCUUAUCAGCUUGUUGGUGAGGUAGUGGCUUACCAAGGCUUUGACGGGUAGCCGGCCUGAGAGGGUGACCGGCGACAUUGGGACUGAGAUACGGCCCAGACUCCUACGGGAGGCAACAGUGGGGAAUAUUGCACAAUGGGCGGAAGCCUGAUGCAGCAACGCCGCGUGCGGGAUGACGGCCUUCGGGUUGUAAACCGCUUUCGCCUGUGACGAAGCGUGAGUGACGGUAAUGGGUAAAGAAGCACCGGCUAACUACGUG
rnacentral:rRNA from 1 species